rnacentral:rRNA from 1 species
CCUACGGGGUGCUGCAGUCGAGAAUCAUUCACAAUGGGGGAAACCCUGAUGGUGCGACGCCGCGUGGGGGAAUGAAGGUCUUCGGAUUGUAAACCCCUGUCAUGUGGGAGCAAAUUAAAAAGAUAGUACCACAAGAGGAAGAGACGGCUAACUAUGUGCCAGCAGCCGCGGUAACACAGAGGUCUCAAGCGUUGUUCGGAAUCACUGGGCGUAAAGCGUGCGUAGGCUGUGUCGUAAGUCGUGUGUGAAAGGCGCGGGCUCAACCCGCGGACGGCACAAGAUACUGCGAGACUAGAGUAAGGGAGGGGGAACCGGAAUUCUCGGUGUAGCAGUGAAAUGCGUAGAUAUCGAGAGGAACACUCGUGGCGAAGGCGGGUUCCUGGACAUUAACUGACGCUGAGGCACGAAGGCCAGGGGAGCGAAAGGGAUUAGAUACCCUUGUAGUC